GCUGCGCAGUGUCGCAGGCCCAGCGUCCGCGCAGAAUCUAGACGCGGACGCUGGUUCCUAACUAGACGUUAGCCGGCUUCCAGCAACCCUCAGAGAGGUGUCCCGAAAGGAGCGGGUCUGUAGGCGCUUGGCCUCAAUCUGCGAUUUUUCUACCGCGUAGUUUGUGACGCUGAGCAACUUGAAUUUUAAGAUAUCGCUGCGUGACUAAAAAGACAAGUGGUUUUCCGCACUUGCUAGCUCUUUCCGGCCCCAUCCUGCGUCUCGUGGACCCCAGCCUCGAGCCUAAAACGUUGGUGCGUCGUGGGUCUUCAAGGCGGCGGUGGGUCAGAGGUGCUGUGCUUUCGCCUCCACGCAACAGGCUGGGCUGCCUGGGACCUUUUACGUUUUCAGACUUUGCUUACAACUCAUUUGCAUGCUCUCCUUAGAGGCCUCCCUUUCCCGCCACUCCUUCACCGGUCACUCACCCCCACCCCCCCACGAGCUAGGCUCGUACGGAAGCCUAGUUGGAACGUGGGUGGAGGCACAGAGAUUAGAAACGAGUGCAGCUAAGACACUGGCUGGUGCUGGAGACCCGUGCUGCCGAUUUUACAAGAGGGCGAUUCUGGCUGGAGUGAAGGCUGGGACAGAGAUGAGAGACUGCAGAAGGUGGGUCCAGAGCCAAAACCAAGGCUUAAACACACACACUUAAAAACGCACUUAAAAUGCACACAAAAAUACAUUUAAACAUACACUUAGAAUGCACACACACUUCAACAAUACAUUUAAAUACUUUAAAUGCACACUUAAAAGUACACACAAAUGCAUACACUUAAACAUCCAAAACUACUGGUAAAAUGAACAGUUAAAAUAUAUAGAGAGAUAAAAACACACUUAAAAGCAUACACUUAAAAUACAUGCAUACUUAGAAACACACUUAAAAACACACACAUAUUUCAUGAGAAAAACUACACUGUUGCAUUGUUCAGGUUGCAUCUGGGUCACUGAGAAGUCGUCUGUCCACAAAGGACAAUGUGAGGGAAAGUGCAGGCAUAAGAAGCUCUCAACACCCACACCAAGAGCUGGCUCUGCCCCCACGGGAAAAUCACUAGUGUGGGCUAUUUCCUCCCCAUAGGGAUUAAAUUUCUUGCCUUACCUAAAAAAUAAAAAUGAAAUCCAAUCAACUAUCAACAUGUAUAAAGAGAAAGAAAACAUACAUUUGUUCAUUCAAUAAAUAUUUAUUGAAUAUUUUCUACAUGCCAGACAAGAGACUCAGAUGCACAAUAUUCAGGAAUAACGGGGUACCCUGCCCUCAAAAGGGAGAGAGGCCAGUAGAAACAAAGAGAACACUACAUCUUUCUCGUAACACCUUACAAUUCUUAAGAGAAAUAACGACAACCUACAAGAAGUACAGAACUUUUCAAGAGCACUAACAAGAAUGGAAAGUUGGAGUAUGGGGUACUAGCUGGAACACAGCAAAUACCCAGGCAAAGAACAGCCCAUUUAAAAGUUGCUGAGUAAAGCGGGCUUGAUAAAACCUAAACUCUGGAGACCACGGCAGGGUUACGACCACAGGCUCGAGGCCAGCCUAGUCAACAUAGUACCAGAUCAAACUGGGCUACAGAGUGUGGCCCCAUUUAAAAUAUAAAUAAAAAUCUUUAAAAAAUUUAAGGUUUUACUGUUUCCCACUUCUUUCAUACGAUUUCCUGCACUCUGCCCAAAGGUUGCCCAUAAGUCUCAGCAUCUGCAUUGAUAGUGUCAGACUCCUGACUUGUUCCCUCUUUUCUCUUUCUUCUGAUGUCCAUCCUCUUUGCCUUUCUGGAUAGGAAUUGAGCAUUUUAUCAAGAGCCCUCCCUCUUGAUUAGUUUCUUUAGGUGUACAGAUUUUAGUAGGUUUAUCCUAUAUUUUAUAUCUAUAUGAGUGAAUAUAUACCGUGUGCAUCUUUCUGCUUCUGGGAUAGCUCACUCAGGAUGAUCUGGAGAGGACAGGAACUCCACAAGGAGAGCAACAGAACAAAAAAAUCUGAGCACAGGGGUCUUUCCUGAGACUGAUACUCCAACCAAGGACUAUGCAUGGAGAUAACCUAAGACCCCUGCACAGAUGUAGCCCAUGGCAGUUCAGUAUCCAAGUGGGUUCCAUUGUAAUAGGAACAGGGACUGUCUCUGACAUGAACUGAUUGGCCUGCUCUUUAAUUACCUCCCCCUGAGGGGGAAGCAGCAUUACCAGGCCACAGAAAAAGACAAUACAGCCACUCCUGAUGAGACCUAAUUGACUAGGAUCAGAAGGAAGGAAAAGACCUCCCCUAUCUGUGGACUUGGGGAGGGGCAUGCAUGCAGAGGGUAGAGGGAAGGAUUGGGAUGGAAGGAGGGAGGGAACAACAGGGGGAUACAAAGUGAAUAAAGGUAAUUAAUAAAGAAUUAAAAAAAAUUUAAGGUUGCUAAUGAUUUUUUCCAAGAAGAAACCUGUAGGAAAAAUGAGUAAUCUCUUAACUCCUAGAUCAUAAAACCUUGGAAUAGUAUAAAGGGAAGCCAGCCAGCAAUGUAUGCAAAGAGCAUACAGAAUAAUCAUGCUCUUGACAUGGGGAGGGGAGGUGUUAAUACUGUAUCAUCUUUACAUUCAUUUUAAUCCUGUAAUUGCAAAAGAAGUUGUUGCAAAAAGGCACUCUAAAAAUAAAAAUGUUUAUACUAACUACCACACACAAGGCCCUGGAAAGAUGAGAAAUUGCUGCCAUGUUGCUGUCUGGCCAGGCUUCACACACUUCAUUUUUAUAUUCCUAAAUUGACCUCUGUUACCGAAAACAGCUUAACCUAUUUCAACAUCAAGUGGGUAUUUCUUUCAUCUACUGCAGGUACGUAUUCCAAGUCUCUCUAGAACCAUGCUCUUUAAUCUCCAGUGAUAGGCUGAAUGACUCCAAAUUCUCAACUCAAAAAACAAA